rnacentral:rRNA from 1 species
UACGUAGGGUGCAAGCGUUGUCCGGAAUUAUUGGGCGUAAAGAGCUCGUAGGCGGUCUGUCACGUCGGCUGUGAAAACCUGGGGCUCAACUCCGGGCCUGCAGCCGAUACGGGCAGACUAGAGUUCGGCAGGGGAGACUGGAAUUCCUGGUGUAGCGGUGAAAUGCGCAGAUAUCAGGAGGAACACCGGUGGCGAAGGCGGGUCUCUGGGCCGAUACUGACGCUGAGGAGCGAAAGCGUGGGGAGCGAACAGG